rnacentral:tRNA from 1 species
GGGCAUGUGGUCUAGUGGUAUGACGGCUUCUUAGCACCCAGCAGUGAUUGUCUGGAGCAGGUCCUGGGUUCAAUUCCCAGCUUGUCCA